rnacentral:rRNA from 1 species
GGGCCCGCACAAGCGGAGGAACAUGUGGUUUAAUUCGAUGAUACGCGAGGAACCUUACCUGGGUUUAAAUGUAUAGUGCAUAGAUCAGAAAUUGGUUUUUUCCUUCGGGACUUUAUACAAGGUGCUGCAUGGUUGUCGUCAGCUCGUGCCGUGAGGUGUCGGGUUAAGUCCCAUAACGAGCGCAACCCUUAUCUUUAGUUGCCAUCAGGUGAUGCUGGGCACUCUAACGAGACUGCCACCGUAAGGUGAGAGGAAGGAGGGGAUGACGUCAAAUCAGCACGGCCCUUACACCCAGGGCGACACACGUGUUACAAUGGCCGGUACAGAGGGUCGCUACAUAGUGAUAUGAUGCUAAUCUCAAAAGCCGGUCGUAGUUCGGAUUGGAGUCUGCAACUCGACUCCAUGAAGUUGGAUUCGCUAGUAAUCGCGCAUCAGCCAUGGCGCGGUGAAUACG